rnacentral:lncRNA from 1 species
UUUGUUCUUCCCAUGUGGAGUAAGAUUCGUAUCCCCAUUUUGGAAUCGAAUGUCCAUCCUCUAAUCGAGUUUGCUUUUUGCCCUCUUUUUGAAUGAUGAGUGUCUUGGGAAUAUUCCCCAAUUCACGCUUUGGUUGGUCACCUAUUAUAUGCCCAGUAACCGGUAUCCCUGGUGUUCCUCCCUUUCUGCUCCCUAUUAUGACUUUUA